AGGAACGAGGAGGUGCUGCUGUCGGUGGAAGCAGAGGCCGGGAGGAGCCCAGGGGCGGGGAGGCGUCCAUGUCCUCUGGGGGGUGGGGGGGGUCAGAGGAGACCCUGGGGUCAGAGAAGACCCUGGGGAGGCCCGCUGGAAUCACCUCCAGAAGAAGAGGCCUCCCCCAGGGCCUUCAGUGACCGACCUCAGGACCUCCGCGUGUCCUGGCCUUGGCUGAGGCCCGGCUUCCGCGCACUCGAAGACCAAGCUGCAUUUCUAGUCCCCAAGUCCCUGAAGAGAUGUGAGGAGAACUGGUGCCGGCCUCCUGGGGAGUCAGACCGGGCUGCUGAGGGCUGGGCUCCCGGAAUAAACCACCCACACUGCGUACUCCUCAGCCAAGCUCCGUCAGCUGCUUGACGCAAAGGCGGUGCGCACGCACUGAGAGAAAACCAGAGAAUAGAAAAGCUGCGGAGCUGGAGGAAGAAGACUGCCAGGCGGUGCCAGCAGCACUUGGCUGAACAUCCUUCCAAAGCUCUUCUGGGAUUCGGGGCAGCUACAAAUGUGAACAGCCACCUGCCACACCUCAGGAUGGAGGCCGACAGGGUCCACGGAGGAGCUGCCCCGGAGACCACCUAGAGGGUGCCCGUAUCUCUGGUCCGAACACCCCCGAGCUUCCUUCAAGGGCUUCCAAGAAGGCGACAAGGAGAAGGUGGGUUCCCCACCCUCUCAGCAGCCAUCCCUGCCGAUGAGCAAGCUGGCAGCACGGGAACCGGACACUGGGAGACCAAAGUCGCAAGGGAGUGACUGAGGGGGACCCUGCUGGCCUGACAAUGCCCAGAGCAGCUCAGUGCAGCCGCCCGGUCGAGGGCUGGCUCCCUGGUGCUAGAGUCACACCGGCCUCGUUUCUCAAAACGCUCGCUCCACCUCGGAGUUCGGCCACCUCUCCCCCGCCUGCCCCCCGAGGUCGCCGGCCGCCUUCCCGGACCCCUGCCUGCAUCGCGCCCCCCCCCCCCGGUCCCAGUGCCCGGGUGCUGGGCGGGGUACCUUAGCCUUUUCCUGCAGCGCCCGCGGCGCAGGGAGGUGGGACUGACCUCGGGCUGGAGCUGAGCAAGCAGCGUCAUCAGAGAGAAGGUCGCCAAGGGCCCGCUCUCGGUCCCCCGAGGAGCGGGGCCCGUGGGCGGCAGGGUGGAGUGAGGGAGCAGCUUGUGUAAAGAAAUCAUUGAGAAAUUUCUAGCGUAACUGGAGGGAAUUAUAAACGACAUCGACUUGGAGCAUAAACUUGCUGCCUAGUUACGAGCCACAGCAAAGGUCUCCAGGACGCGUCUUACAGAACAAACAGAAGACAAGGGCGGGAGCUUCCCGAGCGCAGGGAGGGGCGCUCUGGAUGCCCAGGGGGUGGCCCUUCUUCAUUCUAACGCCACACGGGCCCUGCUUUCACCUGGGCCAACCUGAGGGGUCCUGGGCAACUGGGGGUCCUGACCUGGGGUCGAGGCUAGUUAAAGCACCUGGCAUGCUGACUUGGUUGUGACCUUCUGCUCGUCACACGAGUGAAAUGCAGAUUCCUGAAGUCUGUGUGGCACAGAGCCCCUGACCCUGGUGGAUCUCCUCUGGGAGCCACUGGGGCUCUGCCUCUGGGCCCUGAGCCUCGGGAACAAGCCCCACCCGGCCCCCAGCAGCACCUGGUCCUUCGCCACCACCUCCAGGGCAUGAGUGAGCUCCGGCCAGAGGGCCUCCCUCUGCACAGGAGUAUGUGCGGAGCCUGCUUGCCUGAGGAAGGGCGGUUGCAGGUGUUGGGGUGCAGCAGGUUUGGGGGGCCAGGCUCUGGUAAGAGUUCAGCCUCCCCUCGGACUGGGAAAAUGCCGAGGACAGUGCCAGCAGCGCUUUCCACGAGGUGGUGGCUGAAUCCAGGACUGGACCUGGAGACAGCUGACCCAGGGGUCCGGGCCCCUCUCUGGGCAGGGCAAUCCCAGGCACACCCUUAAUAGCCAGAAACACCCCCAGAUGUUGGCGAAUGCCCGGGAGUAAACGCCUGCCAGGGCAGCCGCUCCAGCCCCAUGAGGGGGCUGGUCUUUUCUCAAGGGCUGCUUCCUUCCAGCCAGAGUGGAAAUUGAAUCAGGACCAGCUGAAAAACUUGCAGAACCCAGUGGCAAAUCAAAACACGGGGCUCCUGGUUCGAAUAUGAUGUGAUGCCAGGUGUUGGGCCAGACGCGGGCCUGCUGGCCUUGGCCGCCUGCCCAUGAAGCUGGUUGGCGCUGAAUCAAAUACAAUGCCCCCGAAACAGUGAAUCACCAACAAGCUGCAGAAAUCUCUCAUAGCAAUGAUUUCAAUAGACUCUUUUAAACUUGGUGGCCCACGGGUGGCUGGUGUAGGGACCCCAGUCUGAGCUCUGCCCUGUGCCGAGUAGCUUCGCCUUUCCCAAAGCCUGGCCUCCACAGGACGAGAGGGGCCCAAGGCAGCGGCGUGGCAGCAGGAUGGGCCUCUCCUGGAAGCAGGUACCUUUUUAGGUGGUGUGUUCCUUGAAGGCAAGAAUGAUGUUUCACAAUAUACACCCAGUGCCUAUCACAGCUUCUUCUACUGUGGUUAAAACAAAAAAAAAAAAGAGCGUUACCAUAAACCCUCCGGCCAUUUCUAAGCUGCUUCAGGAAUGUAAAUAACAUUCACCUUGUUACUGAAUCAUCUCCAGAUCUUUGCAACCUCACAAAACUGCAACUGUCCCGUUAAACAACCCCUGCCACCACCUAGCCCUCAGGCCCCAGCAAACACCCUGCGAAAGAAUCUAUGCCACUUACUAAUCCAGGUGCCUCAUAAGAGUGGAAUGACACAGUCCUUGGGGUUUUUUGUAAAUGUACAUUUUUGGGUAACUUUUACUUCGCUUGAUGGCCUCAAAAUCUCUCCACGUUGCAGCACAUCGCAGAAAUCCCCCCUUUUUAUUUGUCGUGGUCACUCCUAUUAUCUUUCUUCUAGUUUAUUGACAUACAGUGUUCGGUAGGCUUAAGGCGUGUGGCACAAGGAGGUGACCCGCCCGCCUCAUGAAAUGACCGUCACGGUAAGUUUACUGGCCACCCGCGUGUCACACAGCUUCAAAGCCAAAGAGAAAGACCUUUGUGCCUGUGAUGAGAACUCUUUGGCGCCUCCGGCCGUGCUACUUCUAUCAGUGCCUGUGUGGUACGUCCUGUCACGAGCACUUACCCGUCUUAGAACUGGAAGUUUGUACCUUCAGAUGAACCGCACCCAACCCUCUCUCCCCUCACCCCUGGGGACCCACAAAUCCAAUCUCUUUUUUAGGCGUUCGUUCGUUUGCUUUUGAAGCCCUUCCUUGCUCCACCUCCAGAAUGAGUCCACUGCACAUACGCGCCGCCUUUUGCUUAUCCAUCCACUUGUCUCCGGACCCUGGAGGCGCUGCCAUGGUUCAGCCGUCACGUUGCUCUGAACAUGGGUGUACAACCAGUAGCUUUGACGCCGCCACCCCAUUUUCCACAGCAUCCGCACCGUCUUUCAGCCCACCUACAGCGCACAGUCCGCCUCUCCAGCUCCUCAACGUUCUCACCAACACGUGCUGUUUUCUGCUGUUUUUAUAUUAACUAUCCUAAUAAGUGCGAGGUGAUCUUAUGGUGGAUUUGAUUUGCAUUUUCCUCAUGAUUAGUGAUAUUGAGCAUCUGGUUUUUUUGUUUGGUUUUGGUUUUUUUUGUUUGGUUUUAUUUUGCUUUUUAGGGCCACAGCCACGGCAUAUGGAGGUUCCUAGGCUAGGGGUCCAAUCGGAGCUGCAGCUGCAGGCCACAGCCACAGCCACAGCCACAGAACAUCGGAUCUGCCACCUACACCACAGCUCAUGGCCACGCUGGAUCCUUAACCCACUGAGUGAGGCCAGGGAUCGAACCCCCAACCUCCUGGUUCUUAGUCGGAUUCAUUUCUGUUGCACCACGAUGGGAACUGUGCUAUUGAGCAUCUGUUCAUGUGUCUGUUGGCCAU
rnacentral:lncRNA from 1 species